rnacentral:rRNA from 1 species
UACGUAGGUGGCAAGCGUUAUCCAGAUUUACUGGGUGUAAAGGGGGCGCAGACGGCGCGGCAAGUCCGGAGUGAAAUCCCAGGGCCCAACCCUGGGGCUGCUCUGGAAACUGCCGGGCUGGAGUGCUGGAGGGGCAGGCGGAAUUCCUAGUGUAGCGGUGAAAUGCGUAGAUAUUAGGAGGAACACCGGUGGCGAAGGCGGCCUGCUGGACAGCGACUGACGUUGAGGCCCGAAAGCGUGGGGAGCAAACAGG